rnacentral:tRNA from 1 species
GCGGCGGUUGCGGGACGGCGUGGGACGCUCGGCGCUGUGGCCGCCGCCCUGCGGCGCGGCGUGCUCCGCGACGGCCCGCUCGGAAACGGCCUGCUGCG